AGAUAGCUAACUUAACCCAGCAGUUCACUGGAGGAGCUCUCCCUCACUAAUGCAGCAGCGGACGCGCUCUGUGUGUUGCCACGGCAACGGAGCAGGAGGAAGCGGGAGAGGCGCUGUCAUCUCCAUCCGUACACCGCUGCAGGCGCACAAGACACCAGUGCACACAUGCAGUGCGUAUAGUUGGGAUCUCCUGCCAUGCCUGUGACUAGCUGCUUCGUCAUCUCUGUGCCACACCCUGCUGAGGAAAAGGACAACCACCUGACCUUGAUGCUCACAUCAGCCCAACCCUCACUUUUUUCCCCUCUG